GGUCUGCAUGGAAAGGGCCUGGGGGAAUCAUGCUGUGAAAUGAAUUAAAGCCUGUUCUGAAACCUUCAGAACUGCCCUUCUCACCCUGCCAGGCUGCGGAAUAAUGUCCAUGUUUUGCUCCAGUUCAUCCCGUCCUCUCGUUGGACAGGGUAGAGAAAUGGCUGCAGAGGAGCCAGUUCAGGGUUUCCAGUUUCCAAACGUCAUAUAAUCUCCCAUCUGGAACAAGGAGAAGAGCCAUGGGUCACAGACCUCCAUGGUUCAGAGGAUAGAUGGAUCCUGAGAGCUCCCUGCACAGCAGAUGAUGCAAUGGUAGGUGAGAAAAAGGAGCAGAAUUAUCAGCAGGAAAAUGUCGAGCAAGUGGAUAAACACAGAGAAUUAUCGCAAAGAUAAAAAAGAAAUGUGUCGAAGAGUCAUGAGCAGAGAAAAUCAUGCAAGACUCAGCACACACCAGAAAGAGAGCAGGGAAAGCAGCCAGGAGAGAAAAUGGGUAAAUUUAUUUUCUGUCGGGGAUCUCAGAAGAGCGUCAAGGAAACCACAACACAGCAGAAAAUCCUCGUGGGAAAGACGAAAAAUACAUGCUGUGACUGUGGAAAACGCUUCUCUAGCAGCUCACACCUUUCUGUUCAUCAGAGAAUCCACACGGGGAGACGCCCUAUGAAUGCAGGGAGUGUAGGAAAAGCUUCACUCAGAGCUCACACCUUACUGGGCAUCGGAGAAUCCACACAGUGGA